CGGAUUUAAAAAGGGCACCCAAACAGAUUCAUUUCUAAUCAAAGUCCAUCUUUUCUAGGAUCGAUAGCAAAAAGGCCCAAUUAAUGUGAUCAUGUCUUUUCAAUGUCAAGAUUACACAUAACUCCACAGGAAUCUUUGUCAACAUAAAGUUAAUGGUGUCAUUAGCUAUAAGCACCGCAUUUAGUAUUUGUCUUACCUCCAUGAAAGCAUUCUUGAACUUGGAUAUCUCUUUUCCCAUCACCUUCUUUAGUCUAUUAGCUAAUACUUUAGCUAGAAGUUUAUACAAACCACACAUCAAGCUUAAUGCCUAAAGUCUUUUAGAUCUUUUACACACUUUUUCUUUUGGGAUUAACACCAAAAACAUGGCAUUGAGGACAUUUUCAAACCUUCCCUGUUGAUGAGACUCUAUGAAAAAUGGCUCAUGUAGUUCUUCCCAAAAUCUCAACUAAACAGCUAGAAGGCCAUAGAGAACCCAUCCAAGCCUAGAGCUUUGUCCCCAUUUAAGUACAACAAAACACUAAACAACUCUUCUUCUUAAAAUAGCUCCUCUAAUUUUUUGACUUUCUCCACAUCUAAACCGUCAAAAUACUUCCUCCAAUCUCCCAUAUCAGAUAAUAGGUUAAGAAAACUUUAAAUAAAAAAUUAACAAAAUCUUAAAAAAAUAAAAUAAAAAAGAAAAAAAGAAAAAAAAUCUGAAAUGUAAGAAAACCAAGAGCAAAGCCAGGAAUAAAAAAGUAGCCAGUACAGCAAACACAACUAGAAUUCUCCAAUGGGAGACUGAAGUACAAAGUUCAAACUAAGUAGAUCUUUGACAGUCAUGUAUGGAAAUGCUUUGUCAUCAGGUAGAUGUUGAGCAUGUUCACAGGUUGGGAUAUCCUGAUCCAAAAGAUUAACAGUAUUUGAUAUAAAAUUACCUUCCUGAAGCUAUAAUAACAGUAUAAUUUUUCAUAUUCCAUUGCACACUUAACAUACAGACAUGCAAGCAAGAUUAUUUUCAAAAUUAACAUAGUCCAAUCAGGGUAGCAUUGCAGCAGGAAAUGAAUGCAUAAAAUUCAAACAAACUUAGCAGGAAUUUCUCAGUCAUGUACAAGAGUACUUUGUCAUCAGGUAGCAGAGGAGCAUGUUCACGUGUUGGAGCAUCGAAAUCCAAGUGAUGGACAGUGUUUGAAUUGGAGACACCUUUCUUAAGAAACCGUUGAGUAUGAUGCCAAAUUCCAG
rnacentral:lncRNA from 1 species